ACCCGCUGAACUUAAGCAUAUCAAUAAGCGGAGGAAAAGAAACCAACAGGGAUUGCCCUAGUAACGGCGAGUGAAGCGGCAUCAGCUCAAAUUUGAAAUCUGGCGUCUUUGGCGUCCGAGUUGUAAUUUGCAGAGGGCGCUUUGGCAUUGGCAGCGGUCCAAGUUCCUUGGAACAGGACGUCACAGAGGGUGAGAAUCCCGUACGUGGUCGCUAGCCUUUACCGUGUAAAGCCCCUUCGACGAGUCGAGUUGUUUGGGAAUGCAGCUCUAAAUGGGAGGUAAAUUUCUUCUAAAGCUAAAUACUGGCCAGAGACCGAUAGCGCACAAGUAGAGUGAUCGAAAGAUGAAAAGCACUUUGGAAAGAGAGUUAAAAAGCACGUGAAAUUGUUGAAAGGGAAGCGCUUGCAGCCAGACUUGCCUGUAGUUGCUCAUCCGGGUUUUUACCCGGUGCACUCUUCUAUAGGCAGGCCAGCAUCAGUUUGGGCGGUUGGAUAAAGGUCUCUGUCAUGUACCUCUCUUCGGGGAGAACUUAUAGGGGAGACGACAUGCAACCAGCCCGGACUGAGGUCCGCGCAUCUGCUAGGAUGCUGGCGUAAUGGCUGU
rnacentral:rRNA from 1 species